CUGGCUCAGAACGAACGACUGGCGGCGUGCUUAACACAUGCAAGUCGAACGCGAAAGGGGACUUCGGUCCUGAGUAAAGUAGGCGCACGGGUGAGUAACGCGUAGAUAACCUGUCUUCAUGUCUGGAAUAAUACGCCGAAAGGGGUACUAAUACCGGAUAUUCUUGCUUUUCAUAAGUUAUGCAAGCAAAGGUGGCCUCUGCAUAUGCUACUGCAUGAAGAGGGGUCUGCGUACCAUUAGCUAGUAGGUGGGGUAAUGGCCUACCUAGGCGACGAUGGUUAGCGGGUCUGAGAGGAUGAUCCGCCACACUGGCACCGGAACACGGGCCAGACUCCUACGGGAGGCAGCAGUGAGGAAUAUUGCGCAAUGGGGGAAACCCUGACGCAGCGACGCCGCGUGAGUGAGGAAGGCCUUCGGGUCGUAAAGCCCUGUCAAGAGGAAAGAAGUGUACAAUGGCUAAUACCUGUUGUAUUUGACGGUACCUCUAAAGGAAGCACCGGCUAACUCCGUGCCAGCAGCCGC
rnacentral:rRNA from 1 species